rnacentral:rRNA from 1 species
GACGAACGCUGGCGGCGUGCUUAACACAUGCAAGUCGAACGGAAAGGCCCUGCUUUUGUAGGGUGCUCGAGUGGCGAACGGGUGAGUAACACGUGAGUAACCUGCCCUUGACUUUGGGAUAACUUCAGGAAACUGGGGCUAAUACCGGAUAGGAGCUCCUGCUGCAUGGUGGGGGUUGGAAAGUUUCGGCGGUUGGGGAUGGACUCGCGGCUUAUCAGCUUGUUGGUGGGGUAGUGGCUUACCAAGGCUUUGACGGGUAGCCGGCCUGAGAGGGUGACCGGCCACAUUGGGACUGAGAUACGGCCCAGACUCCUACGGGAGGCAGCAGUGGGGAAUAUUGCACAAUGGGCGGAAGCCUGAUGCAGCAACGCCGCGUGCGGGAUGACGGCCUUCGGGUGGUAAACCGCUUUCGCCUGUGACGAAGCGUGAGGGACGGGAAUGGGGAAAGAAGCACCGGCUAACUACGG